CCUACGGGUGGCAGCAGUGAGGAAUAUUGGUCAAUGGCCGGAAGGCUGAACCAGCCAAGCCGCGUGAAGGACGAAGGUGCCAAGCAUUGUAAACUUCUUUUGUCAAGGGACAAAAUCAGGCUCGAGAGCCUGACCGAGGGUACUUGAAGAAAAAGCAUCGGCUAACCCCGUGCCAGCAGCCGCGGUAAUACGGAGGAUGCGAGCGUUAUCCGGUUUUAUUGGGUGUAAAGGGUGCGUAGGCGGACGGUUAAGUCAGCGGUAAAAGCCCGGGGCUCAACCCCGGCGAGCAGUUGAAACUGGCUGUCUUGAGAGGUCGAGGGGAAUGCGGAAUGCGUAGUGUAGCGGUGAAAUGCUUAGAUA
rnacentral:rRNA from 1 species